GUGUGGAUUAAUUGUCGGAGUAGAGGUCCUUGUCCAUUUCAGUAAACUCAACUGCAGUGCUCUCUCAACAUCAAUGACAGUGCUCAACACAUCUCCAGCUCUUCCCCCUCCCUCCAACACUCACUCACCUCAGCAACAGCCUGUCUCACUGCCUGAUAGUCAGUAUGUGUGUAUGCCAGCCUUUCUAGGAGUUGUGGCUGGAAGAGUUAUGGUGGACACUGGAGGGCAAAUUUACUGGCGCACAUGUAGGAGCACAUCAUCAUGAAGUUCAUCUAUAACAGUUGAUUAAAAGGUGAGCACCUAUCAGAUCCCCCUGCUGUCCUUCACCCCUCAUGGCCAUCGCUGGGGUCAGGAAGAAGUCAUCCAGUCGAAGUAGGAGCCAAGUUCAUCACCAUGCAAAGCUCUACUGACCGAGUGCCAGGUGAUCUGCCAUCUUCUUCAUAGUGGCCUCAGCUGGACCCCACAGCAUAACCUCUAGGUCAGCUGGACCCCACCGCAACAAAAGCUUCACCGGAAGAGGAAGCGAGACAUCCCACUCCCUCAUUUUUUUCUGUUUCAAUGAAGGUCAAUGAACUAAGUAAACCAGACUCAGCUUUGAUCGCAUCUAUGGGAGAGCCACCCCAUUAAGUAGACAAUGGUAAAUGGACUGAGUGUAAAUCUUCAUUUAUUCACCAUCUUUAGCUUCACCCCGGCCCAGCCAGGGACUUAAACUCCACCCUCAGUGUAUCCCCAAAGACGAAGGAAGCCCACCUGUGUAAGGUUCUGUAUUUAUUUUCUUAAUCAACCUUGUGUUCUGUUUCGUUGUGUUCUUGAAC